UUUUUUUCAAAGUAGAAUCAACUGGUUCCACAGCGAAGGGCGGGUAGUCGUGCUAAGAAUCCCUCCUCCCUGGGUGAAAUUCACAGAUGACCAGGAUGGACACUCAGUGGGGCACCCAGUGAAUCCCUGUGGACUCAGAAUGUCAGUCGAGAACACUGGUUUAGUGGUCAGCAAGAUGGACUGCCCAGGAAGAGAACUUGUGUGUAACAUCUCAACCUGAGUGGUGGGCCGCCAGGGCUGUUCCUCCCGUCCCGUGACUCGGCCAUUGCUCUGGAGCUCGUCACUUUUGUAAACACAGAUCUCUUUCCUUACUCCAGUACCUAUCUCCACAGGAGUCUCUUUGGCAGUUUUCUUUUUGUAUUAAAAUCUGGCAGUAAACAGCUUAGCCUCUCCUCAGCAAAGCCACCACAGCCAUGUCACCAGCUGGGACCUCAUUCUAUUCCAGCUCCUUUCCCCUGCUGCACAAUAAACAGACCCUCAGAGAACA